GAUGAACGCUAGCGGCAGGCUUAAUACAUGCAAGUCGAGGGGCAGCAUGACUGUAGCAAUACAGUUGAUGGCGACCGGCAAACGGGUGCGGAACACGUACAGAACCUUCCUUCGAGCGGGGAAUAGCCCAGAGAAAUUUGGAUUAAUACCCCAUAGUAUAUUGGAGUGGCAUCACUUUGAUAUUAAAGAUUUAUCACUUGAAGAUGGCUGUGCGGCUGAUUAGAUAGUUGGCGGGGUAACGGCCCACCAAGUCUGCGAUCAGUAACUGGUGUGAGAGCACGACCAGUCACACGGGCACUGAGACACGGGCCCGACUCCUACGGGAGGCAGCAGUAAGGAAUAUUGGUCAAUGGACGAAAGUCUGAGCCAGCCAUGCCGCGUGGAGGAUGAAGGCCCUCUGGGUUGUAAACUUCUUUUAUCUGGGACGAAAAAGGACCUUUCUAGGUCAACUGACGGUACCAGAGGAAUAAGCACCGGCUAACUCCGUGCCAGCCGCCGCGGUAAAAC
rnacentral:rRNA from 1 species